rnacentral:rRNA from 1 species
AUACGGAGGAUCCGAGCGUUAACCGGAUUUAUUGGGUUUAAAGGGUGCGCAGGCGGCCAUUUAAGUCAGCGGUUAAAUCGUGGGGCUCAACCCCAUUCUGCCGUUGAUACUGGGUGGCUUGAUUGCGGUCGAGGUUGGCGGAAUUCGUUGUGUAGCGGUGAAAUGCAUAGAUAUGACGAAGAACACCGAUUGCGUAGGCAGCUGACCAGACCGCAAAUGACGCUCAUGCACGAAAGUGCGGGGAUCGAACAGGAUUAGAUACCCUGGUAGUCCGCACAGUAAACGAUGAAUACUUGGUUUCGGCGAUAUAAUGUCGGAGGCAAAGCGAAAGCGAUAAGUAUUCCACCUGGGGAGUACGCCGGCAACGGUGAAACUCAAAGGAAUUGACGGGG